CUGAUCUGGAAUUGACCCACAAUGGCACGAGCUAGUGAUUAUGCAACAAUUGGCGAGGCCAUAAGACAUUCUCGAAGAACUGCGAAAAUUCGAGGGAUAGGAUAGGCCCCAUAGGUGAUAAAGGAGCUUAAACUAACCAACGGAAGUGACAACUAAACACCGUCUUACUUUGCCACAUGAACAUCUUAAUCAACCCUCGCAACAUGUUUAUAUAGGGAAAACAUUAUUGGUUCCAAAGUUGUAAUUUUAUUGAUACCCAAUUAAAGCAACAAAUUAAAUCGAA